CGACCUUCGGGAGCUUGCACAGGUGCUGCAUGGCUGUCGUCAGCUCGUGUCGUGAGAUGUUCGGUUAAGUCCGCUAACGAGCGCAACCCUCACUGUGUGUUAUACGUGUCACACGGGACUGCCGGUUUUUAAGCCGGAGGAAGGCGGGGAUGACGUCAAGUCAGCAUGGCCUUUAUAUCCUGGGCUACACACACGCUACAAUGGUCUGUACAAUAGGUUGCCAAGCCGCGAGGCGGAGCCAAUCCUUAAAGCAGGCCUCAGUUCAGAUUGUAGGCUGCAACUCGCCUGCAUGAAGAUGGAGUUGCUAGUAACCGCAGGUCAGCAAUACUGCGGUGAAUACGUUCCCGGGUCUU
rnacentral:rRNA from 1 species